rnacentral:rRNA from 1 species
GAUGAACGCUGACAGAAUGCUUAACACAUGCAAGUCGAUGGGGAAGUGGUGCUUGCACCAUGGUAACCAUGGCGGACGGGUGAGUAACGCGUAAGGAACUUACCUGCGGGACCGGGAUAACAGCAGGAAACUGCUGACAAGACCGGAUAAGGUCAUUAAGCUGCAUAGCUUAGUGAUGAAAGGAGACGCCUGCGGAGAGCCUUGCGUCCUAUUAGCUAGUUGGAGGGGUAACGGCCCACCAAGGCGAAGAUAGGUAGCCGGCCUGAGAGGGUGGACGGCCACAAGGGGACUGAGAUACGGCCCUUACUCCUACGGGAGACAGCAGUGGGGAAUAUUGGACAAUGGGGGCAACCCUGAUCCAGCAAUUCUGUGUGCACGAAGACGGUUUUCGGAUUGUAAAGUGCUUUCAGCAGGGAAGAAGGAAGUGACGGUACCUGCAGAAGAAGCGACGGCUAAAUACGUG